AUAUAUAUAUGUGUGUGUGUAUCUAUCUAUCUUUCUUGCUUCCGUAGUUUAUACAAGUUGGUGAAAGUCUGAUGGAAUGGAAAGCUAGAUGAGUACCAGAAAUUGCAUGAGCAGUGUUGCAACCGCACUGCAUGGUGGUAAAAUAUGGACAGUGAAAACAAGCUUCAAGGAACGGACGUAUAGAGUGGAUUUAAGAACUAGAAUGAGUUAGUGUGAACAAAGAAAACUAAUGGAAAUUAAAGGAUUUUUGAAAGACAAGAAGAAAUCGUAUAUGUAGGUAACUGAAGAGAGUUUUAAGAACAGCGAAUAAUUUGCUGGUUUGAAGUAACUAUAAUAGAAAAGAGAUUAAAAUGUUUGGAGCUAAAUAAGAUUAACCGAAUAAAACUGAAUAUGACAGAAUGUCUAAUAAAGUAUUGAACUUUCUAGAGACUCAGCAUGGAAAUAUGAGGAAAUCGAAAAUAUCACGAAAACCUAGAAUUGUAUUCUUAAUUUGAUUUAGAAUUCAAUUUUAUUGUUAAAGUAAAUAAAUCGAACAUUAAAA